GUCCUAGAGUACCUUUGCAGUAGUUUUCAAGGGCAGGUGGUUAACCAGAUUCUGGGGCAUGGGUGUGGCUCGGAUGGACUGCUGCUGAGGUAACCCCAGGUGUGAAUCCCCAGGUUGGUCCCCAGCACGGAAAAGAAGGGAAGGGAGAAGCAGAAGGAAUAAAGAGAACGAGUUGUGGAGAUGAUUGCAGACACCGGACGGAGCAGGAUGCAGCGGCUGGCCGAGGCUUAGAUAAGCUGCUUACUCAGCCGUCUGUGAAUGCUUUCUGUGUGAAACACUGGCAUGGGGAGGCCUUGUGUGCUUGAACAGAUACAGUUCAAGGGUGAAACAUGGCAGACCCUAUGGAUUGGACCUCUCGUUUUGUUUUUAAACUUACACAUUUGUGAGCAUCUCCUGGAAACUUCAGCUUGUUUGCUCAGCGUUCUUUGUGUCUAGAGGAGGCCGUGUGACAGUGCUCUGCCAUUGACUGUUCCUGCAACCAUGGAGAAAUGCCCGGAACCAAUGCCAGCAGCUGCCUACCACUUCUGCAGGAUGCCAUGAACACUCAUACCUCAGAGAUACUGCAGGCUUAGUUCCAGACCAUUCUGCUUCAAGAAAGUGUAUAUUGCAGGAAAGCAAGUCUCACAACUUGUUUUGGCUUUCAGUACGUAUACAAGUUGUGCUGUGUGUUACAGGAAUAAUAGCAUUGUGUGUCAAAUAACAUUGUAUAUGUCUCAAUUAAAAUAUUCUUUACUAAGAACUUGUUAACUAUUACCUCUGCCUUCAGCGAGUGAUGGUAUUUUUGCUGGUGGAAGUUUUGCCUUGAUGUUGAUAGCCUGACUGAACCAGCUUGUGAUGUUCAAU
rnacentral:lncRNA from 1 species